CAGGAGUCCGUCCGGACCGAGCCCUCGGCGAGAGGCGGCGUCUUGCGGAGCUCUGAGCAGCCCGCGGUGCCUGCGAGCCGCCGUGCUCCCGAGGAGGGGGAAGGAAAACCUCUCACACUCAUUCUUCUUCUGUCUUGCACAAAGAUUCAGCAAAUCGACUGAUCAGGUGCGAUGGAUGUGAGACACGUUUUAGAACUACUUAGUGCCCCGAGAAGGACUUGUACUAACACAGGUUCAUAGAGCUGGAACCAUCCAAUGGUUUAAUUUAUCAGAAGCAACAGGCACAAGACAUUCGUGACUGCCAGUGAUAAAUGCAUUGACUGCAGGGUGGUCUCAGGGUAAUAAAUCUUGGAGAGCAUCCAACAUGGUCAGAGAUGCAGACCUGUGCAAUAGCACUGCUAGAAGAGAAAAGCAGCAAAAGCUCAACUGUGCUGAAGGUGCAAGUCUUACCAAGAAGGAUGUCCCUGGCUUGGGUGGAGAAAAAGGAGCAUGGCCUGUCAGCUGUCCCCAUCUCUAUCUUUCUUUCCAUGAUGCCAUAUGGGGGGUGGGGGAUGUGUUGAUGCAGCAGAGGAGCAGGUGAGUAAGGGAUGGAGACAGCCUCCUUAAAAGGGUGCUUGCAGUCCUGAAUGUUUGAAAUGCCUGAACAUUUUUGGAGGGGAUAAAAAACAUUAAAACCUGUAAGCAUUAAGUGUGUGGUGUUCCAGCAGAGAGAGAAUGGCUUUAAUUUAUGUGUAAAAAAGACUUUGAAAUGAA